UGGAAGUUCCAGAGUCCCACUCACACCGAGUGCUCCUAGUUUAGAGUGACUAAAAAGGUCAAAGGAUUACUUAUUGAAAGGUUUUCUCCUGCCAAUAACAUCCUGUUGCUACCAAUCAAGGACUUCAGAGUGGGAAAUGGUUCAGGGAUUCAAGUAUCAUCUUCCUGGAUCUGGCCACACUGCUGCUGAAUCAAUGUGGGGAACUGUGGACCUGUUGGUGCAAUGAAUUUGAGAAGCUUCUGUGCUGCAGAGCUCCAAGGCUGGUCCUGGUAGACUGGUGCUACCCCAAGGAUGUCCCAUCUUGAAUGCACGUAUAUUCUGGAGCAAGACUUCUAAGGAAGCUACAGAAAACAGUGAGCCUGAGAGAAUCACAGAGUCAAUGAACAAAUGUUUAAACAGUCACUUAAUGGCUACUAAACUGAUAGAAACUAACAACCAGUUGUCUACAGUGUUUCCUAAUUUGGGCUGAUCAGAUUCAUCUGUGAAACUUAAAAAAUACAAAAAUAUUAAAGGAAGGAAUUCUUAUGGUGACCAAAGUAUAAAAGUUCAUAAACAUAAAAAGUUCGUCUCCUCUCUCCCACCCCCAAAUAUCUUGAUCCCUAAAUGUAACUAUCAAAAAAACAAAGUUCCUUGGGAAAUUUGCUGUUAAUAAACAAAGCAGAUAGACAGAUACAUAUAGAUAAAAUGAUAUCAUGCUCUUCAUAUUAUUCUGCAACUUGUUUUUCACUUGAGCAAUCAGAAUAUACAGAUCUAUUUUUAUCUGGUGGUCUGAAUUGAAGGACGCUCACAUGGCUUUGACUGUCUUUUCCUGCUGGAGAUGUGUGGGUGAGACAAAGGCAUAGAAGCCACUGGUCCUCUAACUUUACCUGGAGGGCAUGUUCAAGUGAGAUUACUACUCACAUCCUCCCCAUUCCGC
rnacentral:lncRNA from 10 species